AGUCAUUCUGAAGAAUGCAUGCAUCUGAUCCGUUGGUGUUUGUGCACCAAACCAGCAGGCCGUCCGAGCCUGGAGCAGAUAGAGCAUCACCCAUGGUUUCACUUAAAAGGAUCUGCACUACAAACUACUGGAUAGACACCUGCAAUCAAAUACAUCUGAA